rnacentral:rRNA from 1 species
CCUACGGGUGGCAGCAGUGAGGAAUAUUGGUCAAUGGGCGAGAGCCUGAACCAGCCAAGCCGCGUGAGGGAGUACUGCCCUAUGGGUUGUAAACCUCUUUUGUCGGGGAGCAAAAGCCGGAAGUGUCCGGCUGUGAGAGUACCCGAAGAAAAAGCAUCGGCUAACUCCGUGCCAGCAGCCGCGGUAAUACGGAGGAUGCGAGCGUUAUCCGGAUUUAUUGGGUUUAAAGGGUGCGCAGGCGGGUUAUUAAGUCAGCGGUAAAAUCGUGGGGCUCAACCCCAUCCAGCCGUUGAAACUGGGGAUCUAGAGUGUGCGAGAGGUAUGCGGAAUGCGUGGUGUAGCGGUGAAAUGCAUAGAUAUCACGCAGAACCCCGAUUGCGAAGGCAGCAUACCGGUGCACAACUGACGCUCAGGCACGAAAGCGUGGGUAUCGAACAGGAUUAGAUACCCCAGUAGUC